rnacentral:lncRNA from 10 species
CAGGAGGACUCUAUCUUUUACUCCAUUCGGGACCAGAAAUCUCAAGUCUGCCUUUUUAUCAUAAACCAAACUACAAGACUUGAAGUGCCCUGGAUUUGCAAGUUGUACAAUGAGAGUCUCUGAUAAACUCUCAUUGUAGCUAUAGCAUUCACUCUGUCCCCACCCCUUUCCCCUUUCCUCUGCCAACAAGAUGCAGCAGCCAAUGAGAGCCAACUUUCUGAGACUGCCAGGCUCCUACUGUGGGUAUGUUACCCACAGAUAACCUUAACAAAGUCAAUGCAAUGUCAGUGGUGAAUCACCUGGUAGUAGUGUUAUCCAGGAAAUGUUAUCCUAUUUGCAUGAGGGAUCCCUCUGCUGCUCAGAUGGCCACAAGGAAGUGAUUUGUCCUGCCAAGUCUCAGAAAAUGGGAUUCUACAAUUAUAGAGGACAGGCUGUGGUCAAAAGAAAAGACAACCCAGCAGAAAAAGGAUGCAGCCUGGGACCAGAAAGUGGUUGGAGGGAGACAGCUGCAGGCCCUUGUUCUCAAAGGCCACCAAGGUUAACAAAGGGAAGGCAGCUGAAGAGAAUCACAGAAAAGGCAGCUACUGAAACCCCAAGAAGAAUCCAGAAAACACAGAGUUCUACUCCAACUCACUGUGUUCCUGUUUACCAAGAUGAAUCUAAGCAUUAAAAGUUUCAACUUAAAGACUUCAAGAGUCUCCACACAGAUGCUGAAUUUACAGCCUUCUCUAACUGAAGUAGAGCUUAGGGGUGAUCUGUGAUGACUGUAUAAAUGAACUCAUCCAGGUCCUCCUGAAGAUAGUUUCCUAACGUGUAUUUCUGUAUAACUGAUAAUGCUAUGGCUUAAGAGGAAGAAGUUACUGAUGUCCUGUGGAGAAGGCCGGUGCAACAGCAAGGACUCAAGAGGGGUACCUACUUUCCCCAACAGCUUCUUCAGCAGCCCCAGAAACUGGAGGAGAGCUGGGCUGAUAACCUGGAAGUGCUCAAGGAACCCGGAAGUGGCACCACACUUGGGGGCAAGGAGGCCUCCAC